UACAGAGGUCUCAAGCGUUGUUCGGAUUCAUUGGGCGUAAAGGGUGCGUAGGUGGCGCGGUAAGUCGGGUGUGAAAUUUCGGAGCUUAACUCCGAAACUGCAUUCGAUACUGCGGUGCUUGAGGACUGGAGAGGAGACUGGAAUUCAUGGUGUAGCAGUGAAAUGCGUAGAGAUCAUGAGGAAGACCAGUGGCGAAGGCGGGUCUCUGGACAGUUCCUGACGCUGAAGCACGAAGGCCAGGGGAGCAAACGGG
rnacentral:rRNA from 1 species